rnacentral:rRNA from 1 species
UGGCCUUGACAUACUAAGAACUUUCCAGAGAUGGAUUGGUGCCUUCGGGAACUUAGAUACAGGUGCUGCAUGGCUGUCGUCAGCUCGUGUCGUGAGAUGUUGGGUUAAGUCCCGCAACGAGCGCAACCCUUUUCCUUAUUUGCCAGCGGGUUAAGCCGGGAACUUUAAGGAUACUGCCAGUGACAAACUGGAGGAAGGCGGGGACGACGUCAAGUCAUCAUGGCCCUUACGGCCAGGGCUACACACGUGCUACAAUGGUCGGUACAAAGGGUUGCUACCUCGCGAGAGGAUGCUAAUCUCAAAAAGCCGAUCGUAGUCCGGAUCGCAGUCUGCAACUCGACUGCGUGAAGUCGGAAUCGCUAGUAAUCGCGGAUCAGAAUGCCGCGGUGAAUACGUUCCCGGGCCUUGUACACACCGCCCGUCACACCAUGGGAGUUUGUUGCACCAGAAGUAGGUAGUCUAACCGCAAGGAGGACGCUUACCACGGUGUGGCCGAUGACUGGGGUGAAGUCGUAACAAGGUAGGCGUAGAUGA